AUAACUUACGGCAUAAAGGCUUCCUCGUAAUGUCCCUCCAUCAAAUUUCUCCCCACAGACGCUCAGGGCAUUUAGCAUUCAUGAGAUAAUAACAACAGAAAAAAAUAAAAAAAAAAGAAAGCAAGUGGACAGCAAUAAAUGAUUUCCAGGCCAUGCCGAAACAUGUCAUGAUUCUUGGUAUUUUUUGUUUUCCCUUCUCUAACACAACACUGCGUAUACGCAAUCGUAAGUGAAAGUCGGUGUUUUAGCCCUUGGGCUAUGGAUAAUUUGGGUUAAGCUCACGCACACACUCCCAUCACACACAUAUGCUUGUGGCAUAAUAUUUUUCGGCCAAUUUUUACUUUGAUCCAUUUAUGGUUCUCUUUUUUUUUUGUUUGUUUGACUUUUUAUUAAAAACCAAAUGUUUUAUUUGACUAACUUGUUUAUGUUGGGCCUUAAAGCUGACCCUCCCAGGAAAAGGUCACAACUGGAAAAGGGUUUCUGAUUGUGCGUAUCAAUUUUUAUGGGCAGGGGAAUGGGGAUUAAACGUUGGGUGAGUGUGAAUAGCAUAGGAAAUGAAAUUCUUAUCAGGCCAUUUGGGGAUUUCCCCUGUUAAGUGAGAUAGCCAGAGGUCUGGUGUUAUUAAAGUGAUGGUAAAUUUUUUAAAGAGACACCUACGAAUCAGAAAACCAUAAAUAAGAAAGAAUACUAUCCAAUUGAAAUCAAAAAAGUUAGGCCAUGAUCGCUAAUUUGAUUAAUUUGACUUGAUUUGACUAACACUUAGGUUUAAUUUAAAGCAUUCUUAGAACUACAAAGUAGGUGCUUGAAAAAGUAUUCAAAUAAUCGAAAUAAAAUAACUCAAUCAGUUACAACUUUUUUAAUUAACAGCACAUCGCUGCCAAUGCCAAACACUUUCACCUUUAAGAACCGCAAUUUUCCAUUGCCCCUCGGUACACUUUUCCCUUACCAACCGACGAAAAUGGCCCACGAUAAUUGAAUUAUGAAACAUCAUUUCGCUGUCUGCGUUAACCAUAAAUGCAUUAAGUUCGCGUUAAUGAAGAAUUAUGCAGAUGAUGUCCAGGUCCUGACCUCAGACUAGACUUCAAUACAAAGGCGCGGCGAGAAGAGGAGAAAUAUAAACGAACCUAUAAAAGCCUUGGCCAUUAGCAAGUCUGGUCCAUUAAAACUGCACACACAGAGAUUAAAAGGAGCUGGGAAAAACUUCUGCAGUGAAUUUGCUGAAUUAUUAAUUAACCUCAAACAAUUAAAAGUGAAAUAUUUAAAAAAUGUUCGUAUAAUUAAGCGAUGCGCUGAAAAGAACGGGUUUUAUAAAUCCUUUUUAAGCGGCCAAGGAAUUCGCUGAAGGAAAUGGUUCGAGGUUUCAAGACCGAUAAACAAUGUAGAUUGUAAUUAACUUGACCGGCCCUACCUGCCCGAAAUUCCCUACCAUUUUCCACCCAUUUUCCUCCCAUUUCCCGUCUGCAUGUAAAUGUGGGUGGGUGGCAGCGACUUAAUUGCAUGCACGAAAUGCAGGACCCGAAUGAAUGACAUUCAUUUUCGAUUCGCUUCCACUGUCUUUGCUGCACUUCCGUUUGCCACACACACAGGAAGGCAGCCAAAGGAUUCAGCAAGGAUAAAACUUGGACGCGGUGGAAAAUGGCAGCUGACCGAGCCGGGAAUAAAUAAAGCAAAUAUGGAAGUUGAGUGCGAUAAAUGCAAUUGAUCAGGCGGACACAUGCUACUUUUCCCAUGGUCAAAGGAAAAUGCGAACAGAGCCCAAGGCCACGAGAGUACAGUGAACACUGAAUGGGUGAGAAGAGGUGAUGGCGCAGGCAUAAAAAAACCCGCAGCUGUCAUUGGCAAUAAAAAUAAUAACACCCAUCGAGUGCUCGAAAAGUAACAAAAGCAACAACAGUCAAACCAUUUCAAUGGCUCGAUGUUUUUUAUCAAUC